UACGGAGGAUGCGAGCGUUAUCCGGAUUUAUUGGGUUUAAAGGGUGCGUAGGCGGGCUUUUAAGUCAGCGGUAAAAAUUCGGGGCUCAACCCCGUCCGGCCGUUGAAACUGGGGGCCUUGAGUGGGCGAGAAGAAGGCGGAAUGCGUGGUGUAGCGGUGAAAUGCAUAGAUAUCACGCAGAACCCCGAUUGCGAAGGCAGCCGUCCGGCGCCCUACUGACGCUGAGGCACGAAAGUGCGGGGAUCGAACAGG
rnacentral:rRNA from 1 species